rnacentral:rRNA from 1 species
CAAGAAGAGCGCGCCUUAAUCCGCAACGAACCCGCCCACAGAGGCACCCAAACCCCGCCCGCCGCCUCCGCCCCCUCGGUUCCGCAGAUUCCCUCCCCCGAGCUCGUCGGCGGAGCUGCUCCGGCCGCCUCGCUCGCUCGCCGCCGUUGCGCCAUGGCUACGCCGCUGGUAGCUGGGCUGUCGGUAGCUGCUGCUGCCAUGGGAAGCAGAUUCAUGAUUCAGGCAUGGCAGGCCUUUCGAAUCCGGGCGGCGAUGCCACGUGUGCGUAAAUUCUAUCCUGGCGGAUUUGAGAGGGAGAUGAGCAGAAGAGAAGCGGCACUGAUCCUUGGCGUAAGAGAACGUGCUGCACUGGACAAGAUAAAGGAGGCCCACAAGAGGGUGAUGGUAGCCAACCACCCUGAUGGUGGCGGCAGCCAUUACAUUGCUUCCAAGAUAAACGAGGCCAAGGACAUGCUCAUGGGGAAGGGCAAAUCCGGGUCCAUUUUUUAGCCAGUGCAUACGAGAUGGAGGUUAUUUUGCAUUGUUCGCGAUGAGGUAGUGAUUCGCUUUCCGUUGACAUCAUUAACAGUGUUGUGCUGAUACCGUGCAUCUGAACAAAGAUGCACGUUAUGGAAACAGAGUAACUUGAUUAUGUGGCUGAUGUAAGUUUACCCAGCGGCUCCAGAUAUUAUGCUAACCUUCUGUUGUGACC